rnacentral:ncRNA from 2 species
UAACUAAUUCUUGGGAAUGAAUAAGCGGAAUGGGGUGAGAAUCCCCGGCUGUCCCGCAACUGUGAUGGAAACGAAAGCCAAUAAGAUCACUGUCCCGAUAAUCGGGAUGGGAAGAUCGGCGAGUAGGGAGUCCUAAGCCAGGAGACCUUUCAUUCCCAUAACCUCGAC